GAACUGCGAUAAGUAAUGUGAAUUGCAGAAUUCAGCGAAUCAUCGAGUCUUUGAACGCACAUUGCGCCCCCUGGCAUUCCGGGGGGCAUGCCUGUCCGAGCGUCAUUGCUGCCCUUCAAGCCCGGCUUGUGUGUUGGGUCGUCGUCCCCUCCGGGGGACGGGCCCGAAAGGCAGCGGCGGCACCGCGUCCGGUCCUCGAGCGUAUGGGGCUUUGUCACCCGCUCGAUAAGGACCGGCCGGGCGCCAGCCGGCGUCUCCAACCUUUUUUUCUCAGGUUGACCUCGGAUCAGGUAGGGAUACCCGCUGAACUUAAGC
rnacentral:misc_RNA from 1 species